rnacentral:misc_RNA from 1 species
UGGCUUACCUCCUCAGUUAUGCGUCAUGACUUGUAUCGUCUUGAGUGUAUUGUGGGUUUCCUGUGUUGCAUACCUUUCUAAUGGUAUCGUGUUUAUUGAUUGAAGUCCMUUUUCAUCUUGUGUUGCUUUUUGCGACMCAUGAUGAACCUCGAGGCGGUCUCUAUGUUCCACCACGUUGAUGCUAGCGUUUUGAUGUUGUGGCCCAUUGAGUGUUGCUUGGUUUCGUGGAUACAGAACAUGAUUUGGGCAUAGGGUUACUUGUGACUCUUGUUUUGUCCUUUAUCUGUGUUCUUUAUAACGACGGUUCAUGCGCGCCUAGGCUCGUACCUGCGCGAUGUACUUUGUCGAAGAGGAAUGCUACCUGGUUGAUCCUGCCAGUAGUCAUAUGCUUGUCUCAAAGAUUAAGCCA